AAAAGAGAAAGCAUUCCCUACAGGAAAAGUGGAGGCCAUAAUAUCACCGUUUGAUGACAGUUUGAAGAGGAAGUGAGUGUCCGCUUGGAAUCAGCUGUGACAAUGCACUUGUAAGGGAGAUCACUGUCACUGAAGAGGUGAUAUGGAUGGUUCCAACAGCUUGAGCUCGCCUCUUUGCAGAUGAUGCCAGAUGCUCCCUCUCUCACAGGCAGCUUAAUUCCCUCUCGCCCACGUACACAGAAACAGGUGAUAUCGGAUGCCCUCUCAA